rnacentral:lncRNA from 1 species
GGCCACAGUUGUUUCUUAAUUCAUUUUGUUCGAGAAGGAACAGCAAGUGGCUACUCACAUUUUUAGGGGAACUGAACGUCUCUAAUGUGUCUGUCGUCCCUCACAGGUCUGGGUGACCAAAACAGGAACUGCACUGCCUUGGUGCCCUCUCAAAGGCUGGCCUAAGUACAGCACCACGAAGCAGCACUCCCCCAGAGUGCCCACCCAGAAUUCUGUCUGCAGACGCUCUUGUCCUUGCUCUCACUGCCCUGAUAAUGCGAGUGAUGAUUUCCUGAAACACUAUCUUCUGCUGAGAAGGAAUUCCAGGAACACUUUUGCUUUGAUCCUGAUACUGCAAAAAUGA